rnacentral:rRNA from 1 species
AGAGUUUGAUCCUGGCUCAGAACGAACGCUCGCGGCGUGGAUUAGGCAUGCAAGUCGAACGAGAAAGUUCCCUUCGGGGGGCGAGUACAGUGGCGAACGGGAGAGUAAUGCAUAGAUAACCUACCCACAUGACUGGGAUAACUACUCGAAAGGGCUGCUAAUACCAGAUGUGAUCCUUGAUCUGCGGAUCGAGGAGGAAAGAUGGCCUCUGUUUCAAGCUGUCGCAUGCGGAGGGGUCUAUGUGCUAUUAGCUUGUUGGUGGGGUAAUGGCCUACCAAGGCAAUGAUGGCUAGCCGGCCUGAGAGGGUGUCCGGCCACACUGGGACUGAGACACUGCCCAGACUCCUACGGGAGGCUGCAGUCGAGAAUCUUCCACCAAUGUGCGAAAGCAUGAUGGAGCGACGCCGCGUGAAGGAUGAAGGCCCUCGGGUCGUAAACUUCUGUCACAUGGAUCUAAACUCGCAGAGUUAACACCUCUUGCGCCUGAAGGGCCAUGAGAGGAAGCACCGGCUAAAUUCGUGCCAGCAGCCGCGGUAAUACGAAUGGUGCAAGCGUUGUUCGGAAUCACUGGGCAUAAAGAGCACGUAGGCGGUGGCGUAAGUCAGGUGUGAAAUCCCUCGGCUCAACCGAGGAACUGCAUCUGAAACUGCGCCGCUAGAGUGCGGGAGGGGAGAGUGGAAUUCCAGGUGGAGCGGUGAAAUGCGUAGAUAUCUGGAGGAACGCCGGAGGCGAAAGCGACUCUCUGGUCCGCAACUGACGCUGAGGUGCGAAAGCUAGGGGAGCGAACAGGAUUAGAUACCCUGGUAGUCCUAGCCGUAAACGAUGGGCACUAAGUAGAGGGGCUCCGAAGGCCUCUCUGCCGGAGCUAAUGUGUUAAGUGCCCCGCCUGGGGAGUAUGGUCGCAAGGCUAAAACUCAAAGGAAUUGACGGGGGCUCACACAAGCGGUGGAGCAUGUUGUUUAAUUCGAUACAACGCGAAGAACCUUACCUGGGCUUGACAUGUAUGUAGUAUCAAACCGAAAGGGGCGAGACCUACUUUGUAGGAGCAUACACAGGUAUUGCACGGCUGUCGUCAGCUCGUGUCGUGAGAUGUUGGGUUAAGUCCCGUAACGAGCGCAACCCUUGUCCCUAGUUGCUAACGGGUUAUGCCGAGGACUUUAGGGAGACUGCCGGUGUUAAACCGGAGGAAGGCGGGGACGACGUCAAGUCAUCAUGGUCCUUACGCCCAGGGCUACAAACGUGCUACAAUGGCCAGUACAAAGGGAAGCAAGAUCGCGAGAUGGAGCAAACCCCAAAAAGCUGGCCCCAGUUCGGAUAGGAGGCUGAAACUCGCCUCCUUGAAGUUGGAAUCGCUAGUAAUCGCAGAUCAGCCAUGCUGCGGUGAAUGUGUUCCUGAGCCUUGUACACACCGCCCGUCAAGCCACCCAAAUUGGUCGCACCCGUAGUCACAGACCCAACUCUCACGAGAGGGAUGUGCCGAAGGUGAGAUUGGUGAGGGGGACUAAGUCGGAACAAGGUA